rnacentral:rRNA from 1 species
AGGAUCAUUAUUGAAAUAAACCUGAUGGGUUGCUGCUGGUUCUCUAGGGAGCAUGUGCACACCUUGUCAUCUUUAUAUCUCCACCUGUGCACUUUUUGUAGACCUGAAAAGGUCUAUGUUGCUUCAUUUUACCCCAAUUGUAUGUCAAUAGAAUGUUGUGCCUAUAUAAUAUAUACAACUUUCAGCAACGGAUCUCUUGGCUCUCGCAUCGAUGAAGAACGCAGCGAAAUGCGAUAAGUAAUGUGAAUUGCAGAAUUCAGUGAAUCAUCGAAUCUUUGAACGCACCUUGCGCUCCUUGGUAUUCCGAGGAGCAUGCCUGUUUGAGUGUCAUUAAUAUAUAAACUCAACCCUUCUCUUGUUGAAGGGUUUGGAUGUGGGGGGUUUUGCUGGCCUUCUCAAAGAGGUUCAGCUCCCCUGAAAUGCAUUAGCAGAACGACCUUGCUCAUUGGUGUGAUAACUAUCUACGCUUAUGACUGUGAGGGGCAGUUCAGCUUUCUAACAGUCUAUGGACAAUUCAUCAUUAAUGUGACCUCAAAUCAGGUAGGACUACCCGCUGAACUUAAGCAUAUCAAUAAGCGGAGGAAAAGAAACUAACAAGGAUUCCCCUAGUAACUGCGAGUGAAGCGGGAAAAGCUCAAAUUUAAAAUCUGGCGGUCUUUUGGCUGUCCGAGUUGUAAUCUAGAGAAGUGUUAUCCGCGCU